UACAUGUGGGGCAAGCGUUAUCCGGAUUUAUUGGGUUUAAAGGGUGCGUAGGCGGCCUAUUAAGUCAGGGGUGAAAGACGGUAGCUUAACUAUCGCAGUGCCUUUGAUACUGAUGGGCUUGAAUGUACUUGAGGUAGGCGGAAUGUGACAAGUAGCGGUGAAAUGCAUAGAUAUGUCACAGAACACCAAUUGCGAAGGCAGCUUACUAAAGUAUGAUUGACGCUGAGGCACGAAAGCGUGGGGAUCAAACAGG
rnacentral:rRNA from 1 species